UACGUAGGGGGCAAGCGUUGUCCGGAUUUAUUGGGCGUAAAGCGCGUGUAGGCGGCUUUGCAAGUCGGGUGUGAAAGCCCUCGGCUCAACCGAGGAAGUGCGCCCGAAACUGCAGAGCUUGAGUACCGGAGAGGAAGGCGGAAUUCUCGGUGUAGAGGUGAAAUUCGUAGAUAUCGAGAGGAACACCGGUGGCGAAGGCGGCCUUCUGGACAGUGACUGACGCUGAGACGCGAAAGCGUGGGGAGCAAACAGG
rnacentral:rRNA from 1 species